rnacentral:rRNA from 1 species
AAGCGUAAUAGCUCACUGGUCGAGUCGGCCUGCGCGGAAGAUGUAACGGGGCUAAGUAGUAAACCGAAGCUGCGGCAAUGUGCUUUUGCACAUUGGGUAGGGGAGCGUUCUGUAAGCGGUUGAAGGUGUGUGGUAACGCAUGCUGGACGUAUCAGAAGUGCGAAUGCUGACAUGAGUAACGAUAAAGGGGGUGAAAAACCUCCUCGCCGGAAGACCAAGGGUUCCUGUCCAACGUUAAUCGGGCAGGGUAAGUCGACCCCUAAGGCGAGGCCGAAAGGCGUAGUCGAUGGGAAACGGGUUAAUAUUCCCGUACUUCUUACAAUUGCGAUGGGGGGACGGAGAAGGCUAGGUGGGCCUGGCGACGGUUGUCCAGGUUCAAGUGCGUAGGCUUAAGAGUUAGGUAAAUCCGGCUCUUUUUAAGGCUGAGACACGACGUCGAGCACCUACGGGUGUGAAGUCAUUGAUGCCAUGCUUCCAGGAAAAGCCUCUAAGCUUCAGAUUGUAAGGAAUCGUACCCCAAACCGACACAGGUGGUCGGGUAGAGAAUACCAAGGCGCUUGAGAGAACUCGGGUGAAGGAACUAGGCAAAAUGGUACCGUAACUUCGGGAGAAGGUACGCUCUCGACGGUGAAGUCCCUCGCGGAUGGAGCUAUUGAGAGUCGCAGAUACCAGGUGGCUGCAACUGUUUAUUAAAAACACAGCACUGUGCAAAAUCGUAAGAUGACGUAUACGGUGUGACGCCUGCCCGGUGCCGGAAGGUUAAUUGAUGGGGUUAGACUUCGGUCGAAGCUCUUGAUCGAAGCCCCGGUAAACGGCGGCCGUAACUAUAACGGUCCUAAGGUAGCGAAAUUCCUUGUCGGGUAAGUUCCGACCUGCACGAAUGGCGUAAUGAUGGCCACGCUGUCUCCACCCGAGACUCAGUGAAAUUGAAAUCGCUGUGAAGAUGCAGUGUACCCGCGGCUAGACGGAAAGACCCCGUGAACCUUUACUACAGCUUGGCACUGAACAUUGACCCUACAUGUGUAGGAUAGGUGGGAGGCUUUGAAGCACGUACGCCAGUAUGUGUGGAGCCGUCCUUGAAAUACCACCCUUGUAGUGUUGAUGUUCUAACGUUGACCCCUUAUCGGGGUUGCGGACAGUGCCUGGUGGGUAGUUUGACUGGGGCGGUCUCCUCCCAAAGAGUAACGGAGGAGCACGAAGGUGGGCUAAUCACGGUUGGACAUCGUGAGGUUAGUGCAAUGGCAUAAGCCCGCUUGACUGCGAGAAUGACAAUUCGAGCAGGUGCGAAAGCAGGUCAUAGUGAUCCGGUGGUUCUGAAUGGAAGGGCCAUCGCUCAACGGAUAAAAGGUACUCCGGGGAUAACAGGCUGAUACCGCCCAAGAGUUCAUAUCGACGGCGGUGUUUGGCACCUCGAUGUCGGCUCAUCACAUCCUGGGGCUGAAGUCGGUCCCAAGGGUAUGGCUGUUCGCCAUUUAAAGUGGUACGCGAGCUGGGUUUAGAACGUCGUGAGACAGUUCGGUCCCUAUCUGCCGUGGGCGUUGGAAGAUUGAAGGGGGCUGCUCCUAGUACGAGAGGACCGGAGUGGACGAACCUCUGGUGUUCGGGUUGUGUCGCCAGACGCAUUGCCCGGUAGCUAAGUUCGGAAUCGAUAACCGCUGAAAGCAUCUAAGCGGGAAGCGAGCCCUGAGAUGAGUCUUCCCUGAUACUUUAAGUAUCCUAAAGGGUUGUCGGAGACUACGACGUUGAUAGGUCAGGUGUGUAAGUGCUGUGAGGCAUUGAGCUAACUGAUACUAAUUGCCCGUGAGGCUUAACCA